CUUGGCAGCCAGGGGUCGUGCAUCGUGGGCCCCUUUAAAUGGUGACGUAUUAAUGCAGGAUCGCGAAUCCAUCGUCCUGCUGUGGAAUAGCGGAACAACUAUCAGGCAAUGGACCUACUUUCAUAAAAGUUAUCUAACAUAGCCCUGUUUUUUAUAAUUUCUCUAAAUUCUGCAAGAGGAGGUUUAUGUUACCCACAUUUGUCAGCAAUUCAACUGGACCAUUUCACAACCUCUCAACUAGCUUCAGCCAUGAGGACCCUUGUCGUCGGAAUUGGAGGAUGUAAAAGCCCUAUACGGAUUGACCAUGCUUCCAGCAGGAUGCACAGCCAACAACUAUUGUUUGCAUGCCCUGCCGAAGGACCCUAUCAUCAUGCGGAAUAUGUGGUUGGAGUUCGUUGGUCCCAAGUGAUGACAAAGUGCACAGUUGGGUGCCAGACUGAUCCCCUGGUCAUUAAUGGAUGCUGGGACCUACCAGAAGGAACAAAGCUUGUCAGCAAGAUCUUGGAAUAAAAGUGUGUCAUGCGACACAAGUAGGCUGAAUCACAUCUGGCUAUGAUUGGUAGUCCCAUAGGGCGGCGAACAAUUGGCCCAGUGUCGUCUGGGUUUGGCCGUCAUUGUAAAUAAGAAUUUGUUCUAUACUGACUUGCCUAGUUAAAGUUUUUUUUUUUUUUUUUUUAAGUACUCUUGUGAACUUUCCUCGGUUGUCAGUCCAUCUCGACUCCUAUGAAAAGGACAGGAGGCCUCUGAUAGUGACCUGAGUUACUGCUCUGAUGAUACUGACGGCUUCAUCAACAACGACAAAUAAUGUGAAUUAUGUGAAAAGUUGUAUUCAAGUAUACCCAUCUUGAUAAACAGUAGGCUAAUUCCCCAGCCAAGCAGAUACAACUAGUAGUCAUUUUUGUUGUGAAGUGCAUUAGAAAAAAGCUUUGUCCAUUCUAAAGAACAAAAUUCAAUUUGCCACUUGGCUGUCUAUUAUAUCACACCACCUCAUAAGAUUGCCUGCUGCAGUUGUUGGAGAGAUGUCUAGUUUGCGACCGUACAUGCAGUAUAGAGAACCAGCAAGGGAGCCCUCAUCAGCAUCAUGCAGACAUGCCCUCACUGUGAGCACUCCAAUGAAGGGAACAGUCAGCUACAUGUUGGCAAGUGUCCACACCAGCAACCUUCACCUCUCAGCGACAACCGCUUUCACAGGCUCUUCAUUGGUACAAAUACAGAAGUGUGUGUGUGUGUGUGACCGACCAGUAUCUUUGAGGGGCCAGGAGCUGAUCUACGCUGCUAUGCCCAUCAAUGCUGCUCUGGAAAAGACCUCAACUCCAGCCUCACCUCUUGCCUGCUCACCAGUGGUCGUCGAUGGGGAGGUCAGAAUUAGAAACAUGUAUGGAACCAGUACACGGAGACUUGUAAGGUGAUGUGAUGAAGUCCAGACGGACAGAUGAGCUUGAUACUGAUGUCUCUGAAUGGAGAGAACUGGCACUCGGUAUUAUAAUUUUACAAGACA